AAGUCGUAACAAGGUUUCCGUAGGUGAACCUGCGGAAGGAUCAUUAUUGAAUGAACUUGAUGUGGUUGUCGCUGACCCUUUCGGGGGUAUGUGCACGCCCGUCAUCUUUAUCUUUCCACCUGUGCACACUUUGUAGAUUUGAAUAGUAUUUUCUGAGGCCACUCAGUUUGGAGGAUUGCUGGUAUUUUAUCAGCUAUCCUUGUAAUAUUCAAGUCUAUGUUUUUCAUAUACUCCAAAAAUGUAACAGAAUGUAUUAUUGGGCCUUGUGCCUAUAAACUAUAUACAACUUUCAGCAACGGAUCUCUUGGCUCUC
rnacentral:misc_RNA from 1 species